rnacentral:lncRNA from 1 species
AUUCGUUCUCUUUUUCUUCCAAUCUUAUUUCAUCCACUUCCUGCCUGCAUAGGAAACAGAGGUCUGCGUGGAUAAAACCUGCACUCAUUGCUGUUUGCCGAACCCCUCCAAGUUAGUGUGCAGCAGGCAGAAGCAUUUGUAUGGUCACUGCUGGUGGGGUUCAGGAUUCUGAUGGACAUGCCAUAUGCCAUUAAGAGUGCUUAUCCAAUAUUCUCUAACGCUGUGGGUGAACAGGCUCAAAGCAUCACCAGGCAAAAAAAGAAAAAGUGUUAGCUCCUUGAGGAGUACAAACACCCAAAGCAGCAUCUUGACAAUGAACUGCUGGGGUCGGGCACGAGUGACAUUCAGAUCACCCAGCAGGCAUCCUCCUGGCUCUCCCAAUGACCACCCCUGCUGCCUGCAAGCAUCCCUGUGAUGGGAAGAAUGGGGCCCACAGAGAUGCAAGGGAGAAGGGUGCUCUUCCCCAGAGAGGAUACCCAUAUAAAUGCACGUUUAUUCCUUCAAAGGGAUUUAAUGGUUUGCAUGCAGUUGUGAACAGCUUUAAAGCUUAGUUUUUCUAAUGAGUUGUUUAUUACUGUGGACCUUCAAUUUGCCACACACUGAGCAGGCUAUAAAUAUUGCUCCUCUAUAAAUUAUUGAUAAAAUCAACCUCUUUUAUCACUUUCUUGCCUGAUGUAAACUAUUUUGAGCUUUAUGGCCUACAGAUGCUUUUAACCACUUCUGCUACCCUUGCACACAUAAACCAAAUAUUUGCUUUUAUGCUACUGUGGAAAUGAUUUUGCUGUGGCUACAGUAAAUUUCCUCUGAUUUUUUACAGUGGAUACCAAUAACCAAUACCAAAGUAGCUUUGUUAUUGCCUAACAAAAGGCUAGCAUGCUUUAGCUUUAAAAAUCAUCUCUCUCCUAUUGUUCUUUUCAUCUCAGGCUUGUUUUCUUCUGUAGUUAAUUAUUUUCUAAUAGACAAAAUAAACCCCAUUAGUACUAACA